UACAGAGGUCUCAAGCGUUGUUCGGAUUCAUUGGGCGUAAAGGGUGUGUAGGUGGCGCGCUAAGUCGGGUGUGAAAUUUUGGAGCUUAACUCCGAAACUGCAUUCGAUACUGGCGUGCUUGAGGACUGGAGAGGAGACUGGAAUUUACGGUGUAGCGGUGAAAUGCGUAGAUAUCGUAAGGAAGACCAGUGGCGAAGGCGGGUCUCUGGACAGUUCCUGACGCUGAGGCACGAAGGCCAGGGGAGCAAACGGG
rnacentral:rRNA from 1 species